rnacentral:misc_RNA from 1 species
GAUGAAGAACGUAGCGAAAUGCGAUAAGUAGUGUGAAUUGCAGAAUUCAGUGAAUCAUCGAAUCUUUGGACGCACAUUGCGCCCCUUGGUAUUCCAUGGGGCAUGCCUGUUCGAGCGUCAUUUGUACCUUCAAGCUUUGCUUGGUGUUGGGUGUUUGUCUCGCCUUUGCGUGUAGACUCGCCUUAAAAUAAUUGGCAGCCGGCGUAUUGAUUUCGGAGCGCAGUACAUCUCGCGCUUUGCACUCAUAACGACAGCGUCCAAAAGUACAUUUUACACUCUUGACCUCGGAUCAGGUAGGGAUACCCGCUGAACUUAAGCAUAUCAAUAAGCGGAGGA